CCGGUACAAUGCGAAGCGAAGCAGCGAUGUGAAGCAAAUCGCACCAAAGCCGGUCCCAGUUCGGAUAAGAGGCUGAAACUCGCCUCUUUGAAGUCGGAAUCGCUAGUAAUCGCAGAUCAGCAUGUUGCGGUGAAUACGUUUCCUGGUCUUGUACACACCGCCCGUCAAACCAUGAGAGUCGCCAACACCCGAAGUCCGCUUUGCGGCCUAAGGUGGGGGAGAUGAUUGGGGUUAAGUCGUAACAAGGUAGC
rnacentral:rRNA from 1 species